CCAGCAGAACCGCACUCUGGUGGAGACAGUGAAGGAGCUGGAGACAGAGGCGUCCCGCCGCUGUGAGAUGCUGGAGAGCCGCCUGGUCUCCACCACUUCCAGCACCAAGCAGUACAUGUUGCAGCUGCACCAGCUACAGCGGCAGGUGCAGCAGCUGAUGGCCGUCC